rnacentral:rRNA from 1 species
UACGUAGGGGGCAAGCGUUGUCCGGAUUUAUUGGGCGUAAAGAGCGUGUAGGCGGCCUGACAGGUCUGCUGUGAAAACUCGAGGCUCAACCUCGAGAUGUCGGCGGAAACCGUCUGGCUAGAGUCCGGAAGAGGAGAGUGGAAUUCCUGGUGUAGCGGUGAAAUGCGCAGAUAUCAGGAAGAACACCUAUGGCGAAGGCAGCUCGCUGGGACGGUACUGACGCUGAGACGCGAAAGCGUGGGGAGCAAACAGG